CCUGGAGAAGAUCUCCUUCAUUAACAUGAGAUGUGACCAGGUGACCCCCCUCUGGCCAGGGAACAAUGGGCCGAAGUCCUCAGGGGAUUUGUGGGGAAGCGCGCCCCCUCCUCCUUGGGGUUUUCUUGCGGAGCUGCUGUGAAGACUCAGCUCAGCUGUGAUAAUUACCUGAGGUCAGCUUCUCCAGAAUGCCCUUAUCUCCUAAGGCCUUUGAGAUAAGCAGGAAUUGUGGUGUCUGCCUUGCCUCCAAACCUUUAUCCUUGCUUAUCUCAGUGGAAAAUUCCAGCAGGGAUUUCUGAACACCAAGUUAAAUUCCUCCACUCAACAAUCAGUUUGGCACGUGGCUGCCCGCCAGUCUGGGCAGAACAGAGGGGAGCCAAGGGAAUAAACCCAAGUCCUGCCCCCAGGUGCCCAGAGCCUGGCGGGGAUGGGACAGUUGCCUGCAGAGCAAGAGGCUGCCACCCAGUUUCACACAGGCCAGAGAGGCUGACCUACCUGCCCAGAGGCAGGGGAAGAAUCCAGAGGACCUCUCCCGGAGGAGGCACGAGAAGCCCACGUGGCAGCCAAGAAGAGGGAGAGCAUCCUGGGCCCCGGAAGCACAAUGCCAGGGGCAGACAUGCACUGGGAGGCACGGGGCCAGGGACACCUUCAGUGAGCACAGGGUCUGGGUAGGCUUCGGGAGGGGUGAGGGCGGAGAGGCAGCCAAGCCGGGUUGUGGGAGGCCCUGCCUAAUUCUGUAAAGACUAGGAUUAGAAACAUGACAAAAAUGGGUUAGGCACGGUGGCUCACACCUGUUAUCCACUUUGGGAGGCUGAGGCUGGUGGAUCAUCUGAGGCUGGGAGUUCAAGACCAACCUGGCCAACAUGGUGAAACCCCGUCUCUACUAAAAAUACAAAAAUUAGCCGGGCGUGGUGGCGCACACCUAUUAAUCCCAGGUACUAAGGAGGUUGAGGCAGGAGAAUUGCUUCAACCCAGGAGGCAGAGGUUGCAGUGAGCCCAGACCAUGCCACUGCACUCCAGCCUGGGCAACAGAACAAGUCUCUGUCUGAAAAAUAAAAUAAAA
rnacentral:lncRNA from 1 species